rnacentral:misc_RNA from 1 species
GGUUCUGAUUGAUUUGUCAAAUAAAAGGUAAAAUCUUCACAAAUUUAGUGAAGUACCAAGAAAGGAAAUUAACGUCUGCGUCAGAGAUUAAUGUCAUCUUUGAAUGUGAGGUUUAAAUAUCCAAAAUACAAGAUCUAUCCUUCUCAUGCAGGUGAGUUCAGUCGAGAUUGAACGCAUCUGCAAUACAGUCGACAACAGCAUUCUUGAAACAGCUGCUAUCGGGGUACCGCUGCAGGGUGGUGGCCCUGAACGGUUGGUGAUUACAGUCGUAUUCAAGAAUCCAGGUGAAACUACCCCAGAUUUGGAUAAGUUAAAGCAGUCUUUCAAUUCAGCUCUCCAGAAGAACCUCAAUCCACUAUUCAGGGUUCAUCGUGUGGUUCCUUAUCCUUCCCUUCCAAGGACUGCAACAAAUAAAGUUAUGAGAAGGAUAUUGAGGCAGCAACUUACACUUGAACACAAAACAAAGCUAUGAAUUGCAAACCUCAAAAACCACCCAAAAUUCAAUGAAAAACACUCUUGAAUUGGCAGUCUGAAGAUAAGAAGAUGUUAUUUCGAGCCUCUUCUCGGACAAACUGAGCUGCCUACUAAAUAAUUCUUGCCUGAACAUUGGUUCACAUAAUAAGGCUAUAUGGAAAAAUCUGUGUACUGUUGAAAAUUACUUGUAAUACGGAGCAGAAC